CAGUGAGCCUUAAUAUUAUGAAGUCUUUGGCAAGAAACUGCAGAACUUAGAGGCAUAGCUGAUAUAUUCAUCACUGCUAUGAAUAGGAGGCAAGGGCUUCAGAAGAGCAAGGCAAAUCUGAAAUGAGAACAUCUGGUUAAGAAGAUGGUGUGUGGUAAGGUCAAAACAGAAUGGGUCUAUAGGAAAGAAUGAACAAGACAGAGACAGAAGAAUGAACAAAUAAAGAGUCAUAAGACUUUAACUGGUAUGGGAGAGAAAGAGAGGAAAUGUGUAACAGGAAAUGAUGUGACAAGGCAGGAGAAAAGAGGCUCUGAACUAAAACCAGUGAAGGUCAGUGAGGGAAACCAGAGUGGAAUGGGGGGCCAGAUCUGCUUGUCAGGGUCUGCACUUGCUUUUACCUAUGCUUCUCCACAAGGGACUAGCAGAUCCCAAUGAGAAGCAGUCAGAAUAUCCUGAUGGAUAAAAAGUGUAAAGAAACCACUGGGAUCUUCCACCGAUGGAAAGCCCCUGGGACCGAGCUUCAUUCCUGAGUCUUCAUCUAAGAACUGGCCCUACUAUCUAUAUUCAGAUUUUUCAUUCCCCUUGGCUUGGAAUUUCACCUCAUUCCUUUUGGAAAACUAUCUGUUCUGCAAGUUCCAGUGCAAGAAGCGCAUCCUCCAAUCAACCUUCCCUGACCAUCAUCAGGCCAGUUCUCACUUCCUUUAUUCCCAUGGCACUAGAUCACUUUCUUUUAUCUUAUUUUUUAUUCUGUAUAUACAGGAGGGUUAUGAGGCUUAAAUCAGA
rnacentral:lncRNA from 1 species